UACGGAGGGUCCAAGCGUUAUCCGGAAUCAUUGGGUUUAAAGGGUUCGCAGGCGGUUUAAUAAGUCAGUGGUGAAAUCUCGAGGCUCAACCUCGAAACUGCCAUUGAUACUGUUAGACUUGAAUACAGUUGGAGUAGGCGGAAUGUGUAGUGUAGCGGUGAAAUGCUUAGAUAUUACACAGAACACCGAUAGCGAAGGCAGCUUACUAAACUGUGAUUGACGCUCAUGAACGAAAGCGUGGGGAGCGAACAGG
rnacentral:rRNA from 1 species